GCGGAGGUAGUGCACGGCGCACCACUGCCUUCUAUUCGGACGCUGGAAAGGUUGCAAGCAGUGAUUGGGGUUCGACUCCCCACCUCCGCC